rnacentral:rRNA from 1 species
UACGAAGGGUGCAAACGUUGCUCGGAAUUAUUGGGCGUAAAGCGCACGUAGGCGGCAUAGCAAGUUCGAUGUGAAAUCCCUCGGCUCAACCAAGGAAGUGCAUCGAAAACUGCUGUGCUUGAGUACGAAAGAGGAUCGCGGAAUUCCCGGUGUAGAGGUGAAAUUCGUAGAUAUCGGGAGGAACACCAGUGGCGAAGGCGGCGAUCUGGGUCGAUACUGACGCUGAGGUGCGAAAGCGUGGGGAGCGAACAGG